UACGGGGGGGGCAAGCGUUGUUCGGAAUUACUGGGCGUAAAGGGCUCGUAGGCGGCCAACUAAGUCAGACGUGAAAUCCCUCGGCUCAACUUGGGAACUGCGUCUGAUACUGGAUGGCUUGAAUUCGGGAGAGGGAUGCAGAAUUCCAGGUGUAGCGGUGAAAUGCGUAGAUAUCUGGAGGAAUACCGGUGGCGAAGGCGGCAUCCUGGACCGACAUUGACGCUGAUGAGCGAAAGCUAGGGGAGCAAACGGG
rnacentral:rRNA from 1 species